GGCUGCUCUGAGUGCAGUGGUGUUUACAACUAAUUGAUCACAACCAGUUACAGACGUUCCUACUCCAUUCCCACUGCUUCACUUGACUAGCCUUUA
ensembl:Y_RNA Y_RNA Y RNA